rnacentral:misc_RNA from 1 species
UUUUGUUGCCAAUAAAUAGUGCCCACACAGUAACACACCACAACUCCUAAUUUAUUUUCUCCGCCGUAGCUUUUACCUUUUCCUCAUUUCUUUUGUAUAUUCCGAAAUGAGGACCUCCAUGUUGAAAUCCAUCGUCCGCCGGAGCUCCACUGCCGGAGCAUCCUAUGUAUCUCGCCGUGGAUUCGCAUCGGGAUCCGCGCCGGAGAGGAAAGUUGCAGUUUUGGGGGCAGCCGGAGGGAUUGGACAGCCUUUAUCUCUUCUAAUGAAGCUUAACCCUUUAGUAUCCAGCCUUUCACUCUACGAUAUCGCCGGUACUCCCGGUGUUGCCGCCGAUGUUAGUCACAUCAACACCAGAUCUGAGGUUGCCGGUUUUGCAGGAGAAGAGCAGCUAGGGCAGGCACUGGAAGGAGCUGAUGUUGUUAUCAUUCCUGCUGGUGUGCCCCGAAAGCCUGGUAUGACCCGAGAUGAUCUGUUCAACAUUAAUGCGGGUAUUGUUAAAUCUCUAUGCACGGCCAUUGCUAAGUACUGCCCCAAUGCUCUGGUCAAUAUGAUAAGCAACCCAGUGAAUUCCACUGUCCCUAUUGCUGCUGAGGUGUUUAAGAAAGCUGGAACUUAUGAUGAAAAGAAGCUCUUUGGAGUUACCAUGCUUGAUGUGGUUAGGGCCAAGACAUUUUAUGCUGGAAAAGCUAAAGUAAAUGUUGCUGAGGUCAAUCUCCCAGUAGUUGGUGGUCAUGCUGGCAUAACUAUCCUCCCAUUAUUUUCUCAAGCCACUCCAAAGGCAAAUCUAUCAGAUGAGGAAAUUGUUGCACUCACAAAGCGAACCCAAGAUGGUGGGACAGAAGUUGUAGAGGCCAAGGCUGGAAAGGGUUCAGCCACCCUCUCAAUGGCCUAUGCUGGGGCUAUUUUUGCCGAUGCUUGCUUGAAGGGGUUGAAUGGAGUUCCCGAUGUUGUUGAAUGUGCUUUUGUGCAGUCCAAUGUCACCGAGCUUCCCUUCUUCGCAUCCAAGGUAAGACUUGGGAAAAAUGGAGUGGAGGAAGUCCUAGGGUUGGGUCCACUUAACGACUACGAGAAGCAAGGACUUGAGGCUCUUAAGCCAGAGCUGCUCUCCUCCAUUGAAAAGGGAAUCAAGUUUGCCAAAGAAAACUAAAAAAACAAAAUUAUGGUCUAGUUUUCUAUAGUGACAGUUUUGGAUCUUUUUGGGUCAAUUGUUUUUGUAUCCUUUGCAAGUUUCUUGCAGCCGGAGGCUUAGAUUUAGCUCUUUUGAUAUUAUACCCAACAUUUCUACAAAAUAAUGUAUGGCAAACUGGGGGCCUAUCCCAUUUGCCUUAGUGUGGAGGUGUUAUUCUCACAUGAAUCGUUUUCCAAUUAUGGUUAGUAGCAGACAAUUGAUGCAAAAUGAAGAAA